CUGGCUCAGGAUGAACGCUGGCGGCGUGCCUAACACAUGCAAGUCGAACGAAGGUAUAUAUAGGAAGUCUUCGGAUGGAAUAUGUAUAACUUAGUGGCGGACGGGUGAGUAACGCGUAAGUAAUCAACCUGUGACACACGGAUAACUGAUAGAAAUGUCAGCUAAUACGAGAUGAACUGUUUAAAUUGGGAAAUGGAAACAGCAAAGCGAAAGCGGU
rnacentral:rRNA from 1 species